CCUACGGGAGGCAGCAGUGGGGGAUAUUGCACAAUGGGGGAAACCCUGAUGCAGCGACGCCGCGUGAGGGAAGAAGUAUUUCGGUAUGUAAAGCUCUAUCAGCAGGGAAGAAAAUGACAGUACCUGACCAAGAAUCCCCUGCUAACUACGUGCCAGCAGCCGCGGUAAUACGUCGGGGGCGAGCGUUAUCCGGAUUUACUGGGUGUACAGUGAGCGUAGACGGUUAUGUAAGUCUGGAGUGAAAGCCCGGGGCUCAACCCCGGGACUGCUUUGGAAACUGUGGAACUGGAGUACAGGAGGGGAUGGUGGAAUUCCUGGUGUAGCGGUGAAAUGCGUAGAUAUCAGGAGGAACAUCGGCGGCGAAGGCGGCUUGCUGGAAUGAAACUGACGUUGAGGAUCGAAAGCGUGGGGAGCAAACAGGAUUAGAUACCCUUGUAGUC
rnacentral:rRNA from 1 species